rnacentral:lncRNA from 1 species
UUUUUCGAAAAACAUCAAUUUUUAUUUGAAAUGACUGAUUUUGUGCCCACUUCGUUUUUCUUUCUUUUUUUUUUCAUCAAUUUUUUUGGAAAAUCUCUUCUGCCAAUGUCCAAGAUAGCAAUGUUCUUACAAAUCAAAUUAAAAGCUAAAACUCCAAAGAAAAUAAAACUCAUUAAAAAAAGUAAAAUAAAAUAAAAAGGAACAAAGGAAAAAAAAAAAUCUAUUUUCCAGGGGGGCCAGGGGGAGAGAGUUGAAACGAAAUAAAAAGAGAUGCUACAACCGAGAAAUGGCUCCUCCUGGGUUGGGUUGAUAGGCUGAGGCCCAUAAAGUAAUGAGCCAUGUGCCGCCCCCGUGUACAGAGGAUAACCAAUCACAGUGUAGUGUCCGCAAGAUCCCAUGAUGCCCCACUCUCCCUGGGAGACUAAGGCAGUCAAACACAGUAGGUUACAUUAUUCAUUGAUGACCCUUAAGUGGUCGAUCAUGAUCAAGAGAUGAGACACCAGAGGGAAAGAUCUCCAUUUUCAAAACAUUCAAAGUGCUGCUGAGGGACGGCAAUGAUGGAAUCAUGUUUCUGUGUUUCUCUGGCUAAUAUUCUCCAGUGAGAUUAAGAAUGCCAUUCAAUACCACAAGGUCUUUUAGAAAACCUGACCCAGCCCUGUACAUUUCCAAAAGACAACAGUCACGUCCAACAGAAACAGAACAAAGGCAAGUAGUACAACAAAAAGUGGUCGUUCUAAUGAAAAGUCUUAUUUGGACUUGUGAUAAAAGAGGCUCACAGCACUGAGUCACAAUGUAAAGUCAGGAGGAUGACAGUCAGUCUCAGGACAAGAUUUAACAGCUCAGUUUGGAGCUGUAAUCCAAAUACAGACAUCUGGCUGGAGGUGAAGAGAUGGUUGAAUGAUUACUCAAGACUAUGACUUAGGCCUGUUAUCACAAAGGUUAGAAAAUGGAGAUCUCUCCCUCCUGGAGAUAAACAGUGUAUCAUGACUGAGAGCACACUCUUGAGUCAUAUCACAAAGUAAAGAGUUUCAUUUCAAGGGAAGGCAUUGGCUCUUGUCAGUGAACUUACUCGUACAUAAUUUCAAAAUGAGAUUUUGAAUUGAAACUCUUUAUUUUUUCACAUCCUCGUUGUGUUAAAUUCACUCCUCCAGUUCUGAGGCCUUCAGCAGCUCAGCAGAGAUGAGAGUGAGUAUGAGAUGAUAAUGCACAGAACAGUAGAUAACCAACCAUGAGCUGACCAGAGAGAGGACUGAGGGUAGGAGAGGAGGGAAGGCAGUUUCUGAUCUUGAAGAGCACCGACACACUCGUUUUGAACUCUGCAUUUAUGUUUGCACAAUGCUUAUCUAGCAUAUUCUCCUAUUUCCUCUUUCAUGAAAAGGUCAAUACCACUAUCGCAUCAGUCCAGUCAAUGUGGAGCUAUGGCCAAAAACAGGUUCACUUAGUUUAGAAUUAAAAUUAAAAACAGGGCCUAACAGCAAGCCUGGGUGAUGUUUUUAGAACAUUUGCAUGCUUCUUUGUCGAUUUUGUAUUUCAGGCUUCAGUAAAAAUGUUUGCGACAAAGGGUAAGAGGUUCUAGUUUUCAGAUUUUGCUCCUCUGUGCAGAAUCAGGCUGGCUGUUUUAUCCAGUGUGUUUGCGUGUUGUUCAAAUAUAUCAAUUUAUGUGCAGUCUGACUGAAGGUGGACUUUUAGAAUACAUAACAUCUUAGUCUGACUGAAAUCAUAUCCAAUCAGAUUUCCUCUAGUCAUACUUGGUGAUGUGGGCGGGGAUCAAUUUUCUCUCCUAGUCAGACUAAAACAAGUAAACAGUCCAAUUGUAAUGACCUAAAAGGGGUAUGUCACCUUCUUUGUGAAGGUGGACAAACUUUUGUUCAUAAAUCGUUUUUGGCCUGAUACUUCCAGUUAGAUCACCUAACUCAUCUUUAACUCCAAGGUUCUCCUCAAAUGUAAAGUACGAUAAUGAGUGUUGUCAUGGUCAGAUAUCUUUACACUAAGUUCUCCUUGGAGUAAUCUCACUCUUUGCUUUGAUCUGUCUUUAUUCUCACAAACUAAUGAGCUCACACAGAUGCUUUAUGGAAAUCGAGUGGAUAAGUGCUCUCAUGCAGAUGUUAUCACUUUAGUGGUGCACCAACUGAAUCUGGACCCUCAGGAUCUUUGCCGACACACAGAGAAACUUAUCUGAUUCUAUCUAUCAACUGACUUUAGUGCUGUCCUUCAGAGUGUAAUGAUGGGCUGUUGAACUGAACUCAGUGUGUCAGUGCGUUCUUGCAAAUGAACAGAAAGUUCGCCUUCAGCUCUCACGUCUCUGUCUGGAGCUCACUUUGACAGUAAAAUGAGUGUGCUUAACUUAAGUCAUUCUCUUUCACCUCUUCAUCCUACCUCACCCUCUCCCCCAGAGGUAGCAGCCCUGCCCCACCCUCACCCAACCCACCCGAUCAGAUCCCUCCCCCCCUCCCUCUUUUCCC